CAGGACUAAAAAGUAGCUUUGAGAACCAGGUGGUGCUGAAGACAGGGGUGUGGAUGUGAAUGAAAAAGCUUCAGUGAUCAGAGCCCAGAGUGGGCUUGUGAGCUAAGUCGCUUCAGUCUUGUCCAAUUGUUUGCAUCUCCAUGAUUGCUGCCUGCUGAGCUCCUCUGUCCAUGGGAUUCUCCAGGAAAUAGAGGCUGGUGAGGUAGAAGGAGCUGUCCUGCUGCUAAGUCCAAACAACGGUGCUAAGAAGUCCCCAGACAGAUGGAGGACAUUCAUUCAGCACAGAAAUAGUGGCAGAGAAGAAGUAAAGCCAAGAAAUACUGGCCUGGAAGUAACAUUAGGGGAAGCUAAGGUCCUGAAAUCUUAUUAGAGAGGCACUUCAAGCUGUAUAUAUGUGUGAGGUUGGCAAGCACACCGAAAACCAAACAUCUCUACUUGUGUGAAGACCACCAACACGAUGAUACAGAGCUCCUGUUUAUACGCAUGUGUGCGUCACACUCUCCUUUUGAGGUUGUGCAAUAAUUUUCUCUCUAAACUCACCCGGGAACAUUUCAUGCAAAGAUGGGCUCGAUAAAGGACAAAAAUGGUAGGGACCUAAAAGAAGCAGAAGAUAUUAAGAAGAGGUGGC
ensembl:lncRNA